GGGGUUCUGCUGUUUCCGGGUCUCUUCUGUGUUUUCUUCUAGCUGUCCCUGCUGAGUUUCAUCAGGUAGAUCAGUGAGGAGACGUCACAGGUGCCAAGAAUAGCAGCAGGACCAGCCCAGGACAGAAAUAGGCCGGGCCAGACCAGGGGAGUAGAGCAGCGGCCAGACGCUCAAAAUAGCAACACAAAAACACAGCUGUCUGCCUUCAUCUCUUCCCUGCGCACUCUCUUUCUCCUUUCAUUUAUCUCUGCAUG